AAAUUGAAGAGUUUGAUCAUGGCUCAGAUUGAACGCUGGCGGCAGGCCUAACACAUGCAAGUCGAACGGUAACAGGAAGCAGCUUGCUGCUUUGCUGACGAGUGGCGGACGGGUGAGUAAUGUCUGGGAAACUGCCUGAUGGAGGGGGAUAACUACUGGAAACGGUGGCUAAUACCGCAUAACGUCGCAAGACCAAAGAGGGGGACCUUCGGGCCUCUUGCCAUCAGAUGUGCCCAGAUGGGAUUAGCUUGUUGGUGAGGUAACGGCUCACCAAGGCGACGAUCCCUAGCUGGUCUGAGAGGAUGACCAGCCACACUGGAACUGAGACACGGUCCAGACUCCUACGGGAGGCAGCAGUGGGGAAUAUUGCACAAUGGGCGCAAGCCUGAUGCAGCCAUGCCGCGUGUAUGAAGAAGGCCUUCGGGUUGUAAAGUACUUUCAGCGGGGAGGAAGGUGUUGUGGUUAAUAACCGCAGCAAUUGACGUUACCCGCAGAAGAAGCACCGGCUAACUCCGUGCCAGCAGCCGCGGUAAUACGGAGGGUGCAAGCGUUAAUCGGAAUUACUGGGCGUAAAGCGCACGCAGGCGGUCUGUCAAGUCGGAUGUGAAAUCCCCGGGCUCAACCUGGGAACUGCAUUCGAAACUGGCAGGCUUGAGUCUUGUAGAGGGGGGUAGAAUUCCAGGUGUAGCGGUGAAAUGCGUAGAGAUCUGGAGGAAUACCGGUGGCGAAGGCGGCCCCCUGGACAAAGACUGACGCUCAGGUGCGAAAGCGUGGGGAGCAAACAGGAUUAGAUACCCUGGUAGUCCACGCCGUAAACGAUGUCUACUUGGAGGUUGUGCCCUUGAGGCGUGGCUUCCGGAGCUAACGCGUUAAGUAGACCGCCUGGGGAGUACGGCCGCAAGGUUAAAACUCAAAUGAAUUGACGGGGGCCCGCACAAGCGGUGGAGCAUGUGGUUUGAUUCGAUGCAACGCGAAGAACCUUACCUGGUCUUGACAUCCACAGAACUUUCCAGAGAUGGAUUGGUGCCUUCGGGAACUGUGAGACAGGUGCUGCAUGGCUGUCGUCAGCUCGUGUUGUGAAAUGUUGGGUUAAGUCCCGCAACGAGCGCAACCCUUAUCCUUUGUUGCCAGCGAUUCGGUCGGGAACUCAAAGGAGACUGCCAGUGAUAAACUGGAGGAAGGUGGGGAUGACGUCAAGUCAUCAUGGCCCUUACGACCAGGGCUACACACGUGCUACAAUGGCGCAUACAAAGAGAAGCGACCUCGCGAGAGCAAGCGGACCUCAUAAAGUGCGUCGUAGUCCGGAUUGGAGUCUGCAACUCGACUCCAUGAAGUCGGAAUCGCUAGUAAUCGUGGAUCAGAAUGCCACGGUGAAUACGUUCCCGGGCCUUGUACACACCGCCCGUCACACCAUGGGAGUGGGUUGCAAAAGAAGUAGGUAGCUUAACCUUCGGGAGGGCGCUUACCACUUUGUGAUUCAUGACUGGGGUGAAGUCGUAACAAGGUAACCGUAGGGGAACCUGCGGUUGGAUCACCUCCUUACCUUAAAGAA
rnacentral:rRNA from 1 species